rnacentral:lncRNA from 1 species
UCUGACCUAUUAUGUCCCAUUUACUUUAUAAUUCAUCAACCGCAUACCAUGAUCAACUUAAGGAUUGACUAGCUUUGUAUUUACCUCACCCUUGAUUACCUUUUGGGCUACUAUGGUUAGCUUCAUGCUAUUGCUUUACUUUAAUCAAUGAACAUGAUGAGAUACAAUGAUGAUACUAUGAUUUUAUUCUGGACAUGAUGAUAUACUUGUGGCAUUUAGGGGACUCGGGCUGUUUCCCGAGUACCUCUCCGUAAGGACCUGUUCGUUGAGAGACCACCCGGGAUAACAGUGCAACCAUGAGGGUGAAAUGGGAUGCCCUUAGCUAAUUAAUUAGAGGAACUAGAGGUGUAGUUGCUUCGCCGUCGUGCCGUCAAUGGGGUCCAGGCACAGUGCUUGCUCUGCCGAGGCUGGGUGCCGAGGUUCUUUCGUUUUGCUUUUGUUAGUCACCCUCCUUCGGGGAGAGGUACUGUGUUUAUCAAACUGGAGAAACCUAACGGGCGGCUAUGACCUCUAGGGAAUCUUUGUAAAGGCUACGUAGUGAGACCCUGCUAGGUCACCUUGGUAGUGAUCAAUGGAGAGUCAUGAUCUCCGGGCAGAAUGGGAAUCACGACUUGUGGGUAAAGUGUGCGACCUCUGCAGAGGGUUAGAAACUGAUAUAUCAGCCGUGCUCACGGUUAUGAGCGGCCUUGGGAUCCUCUUUGAUUAGAGAUACAGAUGGUUCGAGAUACCGAUGAUCUGAGAUAAAAUGGUUCUAUUGAUGGUUUUGGUUCGAUGAUGAUAAUGAUGUUCCUCGAUGAGGAAAUGAUUCACGGGUUGGUUAUAUGAUAAAACUUGGCUUCCACUAAUAAUAAAUACCUGACCAACUAAAAGCAACUGCUUGAGCUUAACCCCACAUAAAGCUAGUCCACCUCAGCCAAACGGGACAUUUGCUGAGUACGUUGAUGUGUACUCACCCUUGCUUUCACAAAACACCAGGUUGCCUUUGGUGCAAUCUAUGCUCAGGUAAAGAAGAAGGCGUCGAGGUGGAUCUCCAGGAGUUCCAGGACGUUGAUGAGUUCGAGGAUUAGGCUAGCGACCUCCCCCAGUCAGCUGCCUGUGGUGGGUUGUUUACGUUGGCUACGUUUCGAUUCUGUGUACUUUGAUUUAUAUUAUGUAAAUGACUCUAGUCUGUAAUAUUAUUACUUACUCUUUAUUGUAAUUCGAAGCAUUGUGCUAUGAUGAGUCAUUUAUGUAAUCGCUGUGUACGUGAAUUACUGAUCCUGGCACGUACAUGGUUCGCAUUCGGUUUACCUUCAAAACCGGGUGUGACAUAAGUGGUAUCAAAGCCUUGCUGACUGUAGGACCGCUGACCUAGAGUAGCACUGCCGUUUUAAGGACUUAUUGAUUAUUACUUCACCUCCUCCUUGAUUCUGCUUCAAAAUAUUAGUCACCUCGACUAAUUCUAUGUUAUGUUCUUAUAUGCCCCCUUGCCAAAGGUAUUUUAUUCUAUUAUGGUAUAUACUUCUCUCAGUCUUUUAGAUCUGAUCUCACUCUUAUGCUUGCGACAUCUUUGUAGAUGCCCCCUGACAACAACCUUUUUGUCUGUUGGGAUUCUUCCCUCCCCCGUCAGUAAAUCGCUACCUUUUGACUAUCUUGAUUCCCUUAGUAUUGACAUGCUCAUACCAUUAGAUUCUUCAAUACUCUUGUUCAAAUACUUACACCUGAAUUUCUACUGCCCACUUAAACACUUCAGUUUAUAUGUCCAUGAAUUUCUUGUCUUCUGAAAUCCCUUCUUAUUCCGUUGUUAAGUCGUUAUCCUUUGCCUUUUUCUAUUCCCUUGUCUUGGUAUGCUCGUAUCCUUGGAGUCUUGCAUACCCUUAUAUUUUUCAUGUAUGCUUAUCUUCAUACCCCAAUGUCUGCUUAAGACGUUUCAGUUUACAUGCCCUUGGCCACCCUUGUUUCUUGAUAAUCCAUGGGCAAUCAUUUUAUUUUACACAUCCUUGGUGACCUCGUUAUCCCUUUAUAACUUCUCUCGAUAAUGAAUUCUUACUUCAACCAUUCUAUUGAAACCUCAGCCAUCUUACCCUUGAUUGUUUUCUCCACUUUGCCACUUCGCGAUGCUUGCCUUAACUCUCUCAUUGGUUAUGCUUCUCACUAUUGUCAUCCUUACCCUUGUCAGAUCUAUAUCUUACCCUGAAGCUUAUAUUAUACCUAUCCUCUAAAACCUUCUCUUUUCCAUCUCAAUUGUAGAGUUGUAUUUUACCUAUUUUCUCUUGGUCAUAUCCUCUUCCUCGUCGCUUGCGGGUUUUCAACUCCAUCCUUUGUUAUGCUUCUGUUUAGUGUUGCCUUUACCUUUACCAUCUCUCGACCAUACCUUGGUGAUUAUGUUAUGCCUGUUAUCUAAAAUCUACAAUCUCCUAUCCCAGUUUGAGAGCUGUGAGUUACCUAUCUCUCCCUUGAUUUCUUUUCAUUCCUUGUCGCCUUACAGGUUUUGUCCUAAUUCCAUCAUUUGACGUGUUUUUAUUUGCUAUCACCAUUCCCUUGUAAUCUAUCGAUCUUACCUUGACAUUUAUCUCUAUUCCAACUCUUCAAAAAUCUCCUCUCUUCCACCUCAAUUUGAGAGUGGCAGUUUACCUAUCUGGCCCAUGGACGUACCCUCUCCUUUUCCAUUCGCAGGUCUUGUCUUAACUCCAUCCUUUGUGGUAUUUAUAUUCUUGGUUCUUAUGCACAUUUAACCUCCUCUCCUACGUCCUUGUCUGUUAUCACCUUUAAACCCUCGUGAUACCUAUGCCCUUGCCACAUGCCUACUUUGAACCUACCCUUUAAAGCCACCUCUUUUUCAUCGCUGUUGGAGGAUAAUGCUUCACCUACUUCACCAUUGAUUGCUUUCCCUUCUUUGAUGCCUCACAGGUUUUGUCUAAAAUACAUCCUUGGUUGUGUUUGUCUGUUAUCACCUUAACCCUUGUCAUCCCUUGAUCUUUACCAUGAUGCUUAUCUUGCACCUGCAUUUUAAAGCCUCUUCUCCCAUUUCAUUUCAAGAGUGAUGUCUUACCUAUCCUGCUCUUAUUUGUUCCUUUUUUUCUCUAUCGCGUUGCAAGUCUUGUCCUAACUCUAUCUUUUGGUGUGUUUUUGCCUUUCACCUCCCUUACCUUUGUAAUCUCUAGAUCUUUCCAUGAUGUUAUCUGUUGGGGACUUGUUCUCAAAUGCUAAGAAUUAAGAACGAGGCAACACAAAAAAUGUUAAAUGUUAAGGUCCUUCGUCCUCCAUAACGAUAUAUCCCUUCGGGAUACAAAGCAUCUCGGACGAAGGUUACGAAGGACAUACCUUCGUAAGUAUAACAACGAAGAAUGAAGCAUUCACAUAAAUCAUAGAAUAUGAAAUAAACAUUUAAAUAUUGUCAUAGAAUUAUCUCUACUUGUAUUAAUGAAUAUAAAUGACUUUGAUUUACAAAUGUACCUUCGGUCCUGCGGAAGGCAAAAGUACGAGCGUGAUGUGAAAGCAAGUGACAGGUUCCCGUGAACAGUACAGAGGUACUGUUCAUCUAUUUAUAGGCACAGGUCGCAGCCUGUGACAAAUUACAAUUAUGCCCCUUGCGAAAGUUUACAGCAUUGACUCAGACCUAUAUGUAUAAAAAGGUCAUUCUAUCUCUAUGUCGGUUUAAAACGCCGAAGCUCCAUGAAAAGGGACCUUCGGCCAUCUCUUGGAGACGACUUCAGCCGAAGCUGCUUCUUCGUGUGAGACCUUCGGCGCACCGAAGCACGACCCCAACAGUAGCCCCUUUCGCGGUGCUAGAUCGUUCUUCGUAACGAGCUUGACCCGUGAAAAAAGCCUCUUCAGCUUCGGGAAGCCGAAGGUCCAAAAAACACCUUCCCUGAGCUCGUUGCGGAGAAACGAUCCGACUUCCGAGCGCGUGUCGGUCCCACCUUGCAGAGUUACUGUUUGAUCCUUGCGGUCCACUGCGCAGCGGGUACAAGUUACUGCGCGCCUGGUGUAACAAUUCCGCCGCUUCGCCUUCUUACCUGCAGCACUAUAUAAACUGACAAGUAGUUGUGAAGUUACCACAGCAUUCAUUGCUAUUUGCACUGUUUUGCUGCCGAAAUUUUCCAUCAUAGCCGAAGCUUAAGUCCCAAAAUCGAACGAAGGUGCUUCUCAACGUCUGCUUCGUCAGAAAGAAGAGCUUCGGAGAAAAGAAAAAAGGAAAAAGUUUUUGACUUCCCAAACUUAGAAUCAAAUGGCGAGAAUACGAUCUACUGCCAAAGUUGUACGUGAGGGAGACGAAGCCGAAGGUUCAGACACUGUGCCCAUCUCCGAAGCAAUGCAGCGUUCCGGUCUGCUGACUACAGAAGAAAUGCCUGCUGCUGAAGCAGGCCCAACAACUGCCGAAGGAAAAGAAAACAUUGAAGGGACUGACUCCGAAGAUGACUAUCACUUUGCUAUGCCCAGCAAGCCCAGUCACCUGGAUUUUGGGAAAUCAACUGUUUCCAAAGCUGACCUUUCGAAGAUGGUGAAAGCAGGUUAUUUCAAUAAGGACCAGAAGAAGCUACUCCGCUUCGGGGAAGAAGAAACCACCCCGAAGCCAAGGAAGGAUGAGAUUGUUAUUUUCAAGAGUUUUUUAAAAGCUGGGCUUAGAUUCCCUCUCCACGGUAUUAUUGCAGAGAUACUGAAGAAGUUUGGCAUCUAUUUUCAUCAAUUGACUCCUAACGCCAUCGUUAGGCUCAAUGUUUAUAUCUGGGCUCUCCGAAGCCAGGCUAUGGAACCAUUUGCCGACAGCUUCUGCCGAGUUCACGAAUUACAUUACCAAACGAAGGCCAGACAAGAUGGGCUACAUGAUAAUUUCGGCUGUUAUAAUUUUGCCUACCGGAAGACAACAAAAUGUCCUGUCAUCAGCUACCGGAGCAAAUGGCCAGCAGGUUGGAAAUCAGAGUGGUUUUAUGUAAAAGUUGACGAAGACAAAGAAAAACUGGUACAAAGCCCUUUAGAAUUAAUCUUCGGAGAGACAAGGCCACGAUGCCACAUUGGCGACCUAAAAGGUCCCACCUGGGCUGCUCUGGGUGAAUUUGAAAUUAUCUCAAAACAUAUUGGCACCAGGGAUCUGGUUCAGGAAUUCUUGGCAUUCAGAGUUUUCCCUACUCUAAAAGAGUGGGAAAUGCCGAAGCUGGAGGGAGAGAAGAAGGAGGGGGAGCUUGUCCGGCUUCCCUAUUAUUUCAAGUUCAAGAAAUUCUUCAAAAAACCCUGCAAAGAAUGGUUAGAGACUGUUGAAGUGAUGUGCAACGAAAUCCUGGGGAACUACUCCAAAAAAGAGGAUCAACUAAUGACGGCAGCCUUCGGUGCCCGACCGAAACGAAGGUUGAACCGAGUGCUUGACGCCCUAGGCUUCGAAUACCCAGACUAUGAACAAUUGAACAAGGGUGCCGAGGGCCUUAAAAGAAAAAGAAUAGCCGAAACUCCGAUCACGGAUGAAGAAAGACCAGCAAAGGAGAAGAAAAUUCUCAAAAAAGGAAAAAUAUCUGCUCCGAAGCGCAAAUCACCCGAAGAAGAGGGGUCCCCCACACCGCCUUCUACCAGCGACGUGGAUGAAAUUUUAAAGGUAAUGACUGAACCCAUGCCCACGAAGCUAAGUCCACUAGGGCUCCAACUGACGAAGCUUUUUCAAAAGGUGGACGAGCCGGAUCAGACGAAGACAAGCAAACCCAAGCGGCAAAGAAUCAUUGCGGUAACUGAAGUUAUCGAUAAGACGCCGCCAAGGGCGUCAAUCCAAAAAACGGCAGCUGCCGAAGGUACAGCAAUCGUCGAAGGCGUAGCUUCGGGGGUCGCGGCUAUCGAAGCCGCUACAGCCGAAGAUACAAACUUAAAAUCCACGAUUGAGAAUAUCAACAAGAUUUUGGAAGACAUGGCUGCGGAAGAAGCUGGUGCUACUACUGAAAAAACCAUGGCCACAGUGCCUGAGAAAGGAAAAGAAAUAGCCGAAGACCCUUCGGACGACGAAGCCUACUCUUUCCAGCACUUAGUUGGGCAAAAACUGACGAAGGACGAAAUAGAAGAACUUAAAGACUACGCCAAGUCUUGCGGCUACAAGUCAGGUGCCCUCCUAUUUGGGGGUGUAGAUGAUGAAAAACUAGGCUGUAUUCGAGACCAGACUGGAGCUAAGGUAAUCGGUACUCUAUCGAAGAGUAUCGGUUUUCCGAAGCUAGAGACAGACAUCAGCCGCUACCGACGACAACAUAUCGUCGGCAGCUUGUUUUAUUCUAACUUCAAGGUAAACAACCUUUUUCUCUGGUUUCUAUUGCCGUUAACAAUGAAAAUAUUACUUAACAUAAGUUGUUUCUGUUCAGAGCAUGCUACUGAGCAAAGCUCUGAAGAUGCAACAAGACUUGGAGGACAAAAAGCACGAAGCUAUAAUUGAAAACUUGGAAAGCAAAAUAAAAGAGCAAACUGCCAUCAUUGAAAAGAAAGACUUCGAGCUCCAAUCGACCGAAGGCUUGCUGGCUGAAACUGAGGCUAAAAUAUUAGAGUUAAAUUCGAAGCUUAUCAAUCAAUCAAAACAAUUUGAUCAGGAGAAGCUAGAACUGAAUUCGAAGCUUAAAGCCGAAGUCCAGACCAGCUCAGAAUUGAAGAAAGCAUUAACAAGCCUUCAAGACAAAUGCUUGAACUUUGGCAAUAAUUGUAUUGGACGAUUAAAGAAGAUAUUUUACUCUGUUGGAGCCAGCAGUGGGAAAUUUAACCCUUCGGCGGAAAAUUUACCCCAGGCCUUCGAUCAUAUUGAAGCUGAAAUCGAAGAGCUUGACGAAGUUAUAGCUGGGCACGGCGACUUCUGUGCCUGGGUAGCUUCUCGGGGUACAGCUGCUGCAUUUCUGAAGGCCGGCUGCGAACAUGGAAAAGUUGUCAACAGGCCCAACUUCACCUUAUCUCCAUCAAUCCUGGAUGAUAUGCCUGACCUUGCCCGAAGUAUCUCCAAUAGAUUUAUAAAAAUGAUAUGGACAAAAGGCGGGCGGGAGAAGGCUGGAGAUGAAGCACGAAGUCAUCUUGAACCAGUAAGAGAUAAUACUUCGUACUUACCUUUUUCUUUGCACUUGAUUUUUACUCACGAUUCCUUGAUUUAUGUAGGAUGACGAAGGUGAAGAUGAUGCCUAAGUUAUGUCGCCGAAACUGUCGCCGAAGCUGAAGCUUAAUGAAGAUCAGUAGAAAUGUACUAUAGGAAAAAACUCAGGAUACUUUUGUAACAAGUUUUGUAAAUACAAUUGAACUGUUCUCAAGGAACUUUGUACAUACCUUGUAAUAUAUCCUUACCCUUCGAUUGAGUCGCUUUGAUGUGGACGAAAUCAGUAUUUUGAGCCGAAGGCGAAAAAACACCUUCCCUUCUUUUCGUACACAACGAAGCCUAAACGGUCGCUUCCUCUUUUUGCCAAAGCUUUUCUUCACAUAGCAAAACAUAAAAAACUACUUCUUCUUUCUGCCGAAGCUUUUACAUAGCAAAACAUAAAAGACUACUUCUUCCUUCUACCGAAACUUUUACAUAGCAAGACAUAAAAGACUACUUCUUCUUUCUGCCAAAGCUUUUACAUAGCAAAACAUAAAAGACUACUUCUUCCUUCUGCCGAAACUUUUACAUAGCAAGACAUAAAAGACUACUUCUUCUUUCUGCCAAAGCUUUUACAUAGCAAAACAUAAAAGACUACUUCUUCCUUCUGCCGAAACUUUUACAUAGCAAGACAUAAAAGACUACUUCUUCUUUCUGCCAAAGCUUUUACAUAGCAAAACAUAAAAGACUGCUACUCUUAUACACAACGAUUCAUAAAAAACCACUUCUUCGAAACCUUUCUUUUACAUAACAAACCAUUUAUCCGAAACUUUUCUCUGUGCCGAAGCAACCAUUUAGGAACACAAAUGCUAUGAAUGAAUGCUUAUGCAUGCAAAUGCCAUGAUGCAAUGUGCAAAUGAAUGUCCGAAGCGUAUGUCCGAAGCCACACUCAUCCAUCAUUUUCUUAGGAGCAAACACACGUCAGCUCUGCAUUCCCUUAGGAACGACUUUGGAGCAUCUUUGCCUUUUACUUAGGCAGUAUCAGCGUUGACUUUUCGCUGUAAGCUCUGCAUCCCCCUAGGGACGUCUUUGGAGCUUCUUCGUCUUUUACUUAGACGGUAUAAGCUCUGCAUUCCCUUAGGAACGACUUUGGAGCUUCUUCGCCUUUUACUUUCGGCGGAAUCAGCGUUGACUUUUCGCUGUAAGCUCUGCAUCCCCUUAGGGACGUCUUUGGAGCUUCUUCUCUUUUUUAGUUUCGGCACUCGAUGGUGCGCUCUCAGCUUUUACAUUUACAUUCUUUGGGGGAUUUUGCUCUUAUAAAACUAAAAAGGAAAUUACAUAAGAUGGCCCCAUUAAAAACCUUUCUCCCCCUUUAGAAAGGAAAAGGGUGCCAUGAAAAAGAAAAGAAAAGUCAAAAUUACAUCGAAUUAUACAUAAAACCGCCGAAGCUCAUCUGCAUUCCAAGAUCUUGGAAUUUCAUUGCCAUCCAUGUCCUUCAGUCUGUACGAACCAGGCCUUGACGAAGAUGCUACUAAGAAAGGCCCUUCCCAUUUCAGUUGCAAUUUGCCCACUGUAUCCGGAUUGGCCACUCUCCGAAGCACCAAGUGUCCUGGCUCAAUAUUUUUUAGCCGGACCUUUCUAUCUCGCCAUUUAACUGUUUCAGCCUGGUACUUAUUGAUAUUCUCCACGGCCUGAAGCCUGAUCCCUUCUAAGGCAUCUUUUUCCACGAGACAAGUAUCUUCGGGACCUGAUUCUGCCGAAGCUACCACUCUUAUUGAUCCAGCUUUGGCUUCUUCCGGGGUUAUUGCUUCGUCACCAAAUAACAACUUGAAUGGGGUAAAGCCUGUAGAUCUUGAUGUUGUUGUGUUAUGGCUCCAUACCACUUUGGUAAGCUGAUCUGGCCACUUUCCCCUUGGUUGAUUAAAGAUUAACUUCAUUAUUCCUGUCAUUAUGAUGCCGUUGGCCCUUUCAACAAGCCCAUUCGACUCCGGGUGCCUGACUGACGCAAAGUGGAUCUUCGUGCCAAUUUGAUCACAAAAAUUUCUGAAUUCUUCGGAGUCAAAUUGUGUUCCAUUAUCUACAGUUAUAGCCUUCGGCACUCCGAAGCGACAGACAAUAUUCUGCCAGAAAAAUUUUUGGACAGUGGCCGAAGUUAUUGUAGCUAAUGGCUUCGCCUCAAUCCACUUGGAAAAAUAUUCCACAGCAACUACAACAUAUUUCAGAUUGCCUUGAGCCGGUGGUAAUGGGCCCAGCAAAUCGAGGCCCCACCUUUGCAAUGGCCAGAUGGGUUGUAUUAGCUGUGUCAAAGACGAAGGUUGUUUUUGAUCUCUUGCACAUUUCUGACAACCUUCGCACUUUUGAACUAACUCAGCUGCAUCCGAAGCUGCCUUCGGCCAAUAAAAUCCUUGACGGAACACUUUUCCAAGUAACGGCCUGGAUCCGAUAUGGGAUCCACAAAGGCCUGCAUGUAUCUCCUUCAUCAACUCUAUACCUUCGGCUCUAGACAAGCACUUGAGCAGCGGGGCACAAACUCCAUGCUUGUAUAACUCCCCUUCUAUAAUGAUAUAUGGACGAGCUCUUGCCUCUAUUCUUUUAUUAUAAGCUUCGUCAUCUGAUAGGAAGUUGCCCUGAAGGUAAGAAAUUAUUUCAGUUCUCCAAUCUUCACUGUACACAGGAGAAAUAGUAAGAACUGCUCUUUCAAGUAACUCCACUGAAGGUGCCUUUAUUGUUUCGAAGAAUACAUCCGAAGGUAACGGCAGCCCCUGUGCUGCAGACCUGGCUAACAAAUCAGCAUGUUCAUUUUGCCCUCGAGGGAUAUUCUUAACAGAAAAUCCUUCGAAGGAAGCUUCGAUCCUUCGGACUGUGUCUAGGUAUUUUUCAAGCUUCGGGUCUUUAGCCUUGCAACUUUUGUCAAUAUGACCCGAAACAAUCUGAGAAUCAGUUUUGAGGAUCGCCCUCCUGAUCCCCAUCGCCUUUAGUUUCCGAAGACCCAGGAGCAAGGCUUCGUACUCAGCAAUAUUAUUUGUGCAGCUGAAGUCCAGUCUUGCUGCAUAGCAAGUUUUAACCUUGGACGGUGAAACCAAAACAGCAGCUGCUCCUGCUCCGAAGGUUCCCCAGGAGCCAUCACAAAACACUGUCCAUGCUUCGGCAUCUUUAUCCGCUUCUUCGCCCUGAGCCCCUGGCGUCCAGUCGGCAAUAAAAUCUGCCAAUGCUUGAGACUGGAUCGAGGAUCUGUGCACAUAAUCAAUGUAAAAUUCAUUAAGCUCCGCAGCCCAUUUUCCAAUUCGGCCAGUAGCUUCUUUAUUUCUCAUGAUAUCUUUCAACGGCUGCGAAGAAGGAACAAUAAUAUUAUAUGCCUGAAAAUAAUGCCGAAGCUUCCUGGAUGCCAUUAGAACGGCAUACAACACCUUCUCCAGUUCUGUAUAAUUUUUCUUUGAGACACUAAGGACCUCAGAUACAAAAUAUACUGGGACCUGCUUCUUGAUUUGUCCAUCAAACUUCUCCUGCACAAGUGCCGCACUUACUGCUGAGUGCGAAGCUGCCACAUACAACAACAGAGGAGCCCCUGGCAUUGGUGGAGUUAAUGUUGUUAGAUCUAUCAGGUAUUGCUUGAGUUCUUCGAAAGCUUUUUGUUGAGCUGGGCCCCAUUGAAAGACUUCAGCUGAUUUUAGCACCUCGAAGAAGGGUAGAUUUCUUUCCGCUGAUCUGGAUAUAAAUCUGUUAAGAGAAGCCAGUCUUCCUGUCAAUCUUUGGGCCCCCUUUCUUGUGGUUGGUGGCUCCAUUCGAAGUAUAGCUUCGAUUUUAUUUGGGUUAGCUUCAAUCCCCUUUGUUGAAACCAAGCAUCCAAGGAACUUACCCUUCUUUACUCCGAAGACACAUUUUUCUGGAUUCAGCUUCAGACCAGCUUGUCUGAAGCUGGCGAAGGUCUCCUGCAGAUCAGCAAUAUGGUCUUCUUGCUUCGUGCUUUUUACAAUAAUGUCAUCAACAUAGGUCAACACAUUUCUGCCUAUCUGAGAUUGGAGAACCUUCGCAGUCAUCCUGCUGAAACUCCCUCCAGCAUUCUUGAGCCCCUCAGGCAUCCGAAGAUAGCAAUAUGUACCACUUGGGGUUAUGAAACUAGUCUUCGGCUCAUCCUCCUUUUUCAUCCAGAUUUGAUGAUAACCUGAGUAACAAUCCAAGAGACUCAUGAGUUCCGAAGAAGCUGCUGCAUCAACUAAAGAGUCUAUCCUUGGCAGCGGGAACUCAUCCUUCGGACAAGCCUUGUUGAGAUCUGUGAAAUCAAUACACAUUCUCCACUUUCCAUUGGCCUUCUUCACCAUAACAGUGUUAGCUAGCCAAUCUGGAUACUUCACUUCUCUAAUAACUCCUGCACUUAGGAGUCUUUUUACUUCGUUGCGAGCCCCUUCGGCCUUGUCAUCAGACAUUUUCCGAAGCCUCUGCUUGCGGGGUCUGAAGGAUGGGUCAACAUUGAGCGAAUGUUCAAUAACAUCCCGAUUCACUCCACAAAGAUCAUUGGCUGACCAUGCAAAAACAUCUUUAUUGUUGAAUAAAAACCUUAUCAAGGUUUUCUCUUGAUCUUCAGAUAAUUGCGAGCCCAAUAGCACCUUCUGCUCUGCUAUAUCCUCACACAGCAGCAUGGGCUUCGGCUGAUCAGCCGAAGCUGCUUUUUCCCUCCUGAACUUGUACUGUUCACAAGCUUCAACUCCAUCUAUAUUAUGGAUUGCCUUGGAAUCAGUCCAGCUUCCUUCGGCCCUUCUGGCAGCUUCCUGACUCCCAUGAAUAGCAAUAGGCCCUUGGUCCGAAGGUAUCUUCAUGCAGAGAUAAGCUGGGUGAAGAAUUGCUUCAAAAGCAUUUAGGGUACCACGACCAAUGAUGGCGUUGUAGGGGUAUUCCAUGUCAACAAUAUCAAACACAAUUUGCUCAGUCCUUGUGUUAUUAACAAAUCCGAAGGUUACCGGCAUGGUAAUCUUCCCGAGUGCCACAAUCUGCCGCCCUCCGAAGCCACAAAGAGGGUGCGUAGCAUCAUGAAUCUUGUCUUCAGGCUCUUGCAUCUGUCUGAAGGCUUUGGCAAAUAUAAUGUCAGCUGCACUGCCUGUGUCAACUAGGACAUUGUGAACCAGAAACCCUUUGAUCACACAAGAAAUGACCAUAGCAUCAUUGUGAGGAUAGUCCUUGAGCUGAAGAUCUUCCUGAGAGAAGGUAAUUGGAAUGUGAGACCAUUUUGACUUAACAAAGGGUCCCUGCACUCCAACAUGCUGCACCCUUCUCUGAGCCUCCUUCUUCUGCUUUUUGUUAGCUGGCUCUGAGCAAGAACCGCCUGUUAUCGGGAGCACCAGCUUCGAAGCCGAAGCAGCUCCAGCUUGAGUGUUGAACGAAGCCAUCAGCUCAGAAAGGUGGAAGUGAGUUGACCGGAGGUGGGCGCCAAUGUUGGGGACUUGUUCUCAAAUGCUAAGAAUUAAGAACGAGGCAACACAAAAAAUGUUAAAUGUUAAGGUCCUUCGUCCUCCAUAACGAUAUAUCCCUUCGGGAUACAAAGCAUCUCGGACGAAGGUUACGAAGGACAUACCUUCGUAAGUAUAACAACGAAGAAUGAAGCAUUCACAUAAAUCAUAGAAUAUGAAAUAAACAUUUAAAUAUUGUCAUAGAAUUAUCUCUACUUGUAUUAAUGAAUAUAAAUGACUUUGAUUUACAAAUGUACCUUCGGUCCUGCGGAAGGCAAAAGUACGAGCGUGAUGUGAAAGCAAGUGACAGGUUCCCGUGAACAGUACAGAGGUACUGUUCAUCUAUUUAUAGGCACAGGUCGCAGCCUGUGACAAAUUACAAUUAUGCCCCUUGCGAAAGUUUACAGCAUUGACUCAGACCUAUAUGUAUAAAAAGGUCAUUCUAUCUCUAUGUCGGUUUAAAACGCCGAAGCUCCAUGAAAAGGGACCUUCGGCCAUCUCUUGGAGACGACUUCAGCCGAAGCUGCUUCUUCGUGUGAGACCUUCGGCGCACCGAAGCACGACCCCAACAUUAUCUUAUGCCUACCUUUUGAAAUAUCAUCUUUUCCAUCUCGAUUUGAGAAUGGUGUUUUACCUAUCCUGACCUUGGUUGCAUUCUCUCCCUUGUCGGUUACAAUCAUUGCUUUAGCUCCAUCCUUUAUUAUGCUCAUGCCCCUACCCUCCAUGUCUUAUUAUUCCCCUUGCCUUUUGUUGGCCUUAGAGGAAAGACCACCAUUUAAUUAAAAGGAAUGUAUAGCAACGAGAUGUUUGUUGAUGUGUGCUCAUGAUGUUUGUCCUUCUGCUAUGACUGAUUUGCUUCUUUGGAAUGAGUGUUGAUGUGUUGUGGCCCUUGGACCGCAAUGGAAUCUGUUUACUAGGUGAGUGCCAUAGAGUUAAGUAGUUGGGUUCUCUCCCUGCUCUCUCUAAUCCGUCUAUACUUACCCUUUCUCGUUAUUCUUUCCUCUUGCAUUUGUCCUUUUGGAAACCUCCAACUCCUCCAAACCAGUCAAGAUCAGAGUCGGCAACAUCUUCAUCAAGUGUGUAUCAAUGCUCUUGUUAAGGGGGUUAGCCGCUAACCCCAAUGAAGACAAUGCAAUCAACAUCAACCAACAAGAUCAGAGUGGCGCAGCGAAAGCGUGUGUGGGUCCUAACCCACAGGUCCAGGAGAUCCUCAAGAAUUGCAUCAAUCGGUCUCAAGCAUCUGAUGGUCAAAGCAACCAAUUCACAAGUCAAGCCGGCGGAGUCAAAGCUGAGUUAGAAAAAGCUAUGAAAGACUAAUGAACCAAUCUCAUUUUCUUGCUAGCCUCUUCUUGAAUCUCGAGGACGAGAUUCUGUUAAGGGGGUUAGAUUUGUAACACCCUGAAUUUGGGGGUAUAAAAUUUCUUUUCUAAUAUCCACCAAAUUCAGGUGUUACUCUCUCAGUUCUUCGCUUUCCUUUCUCUUUUCCCUAAAAAUGGAGAAUUAUUUUGUUUUUUAUUAGCGUAAACCUAGUGGAAUGAGCCCUAGAGGCACUUUGGUUGUUGCAUUCAUGCCGUUGCAUGGUGUUUCUAAGUGCAAAAUGUGUUUGAAACAUGUUAACAUAUCUUAUAGAAGCGCUCGGUAAAUUUUCAUAUUUUUCGGAAUAUUUUUCUAUUUUCCGGAAACCAAAAUCUAUUUAUUUGUGGAACUUAAAAAUGUUUUUAGAAAUUCUAAUUAUGUUUUUUGAGUUCAUUAGGUCCCAAAACAUUUAUAGGAAUUUUUCUGGAAUUUUUGAAAGUAUCUAUAAUAUUUUGAGCACAAAAUAUGGAUUUCUAGGCUUUUUCGAAUUUUAAAAAAUAGUAAAAUCCGAAUUUUAACCGAAUUUUUAUCUCGUCCAAACCCUAGGUAUAUAUACAUGUCCGGCUUCAUCUCGUCGAGCCCGUUCCAGAAUACAAAACGUUUCCCCCAAAUCCAAUCCCUAGCUCCCUGUAUUGCUCGCCGAAGUUCGGGGCGGUUCCAACUCCGGCGACAACUCCGGCGAGCAAUUACUCCCAAUCCGUGCAUCGUCUGCCAAAUCCGAGGGUACCGCUGCGUUCGUCUCGUCGAGGGCUUCGUCGCAGCGCGUUCGGUUCGUCGAUUGGAUCCCCGAAUCUCCGGCAAUCGAUGGAUUUCCUCUCGGCUCCGGCGAGGGUCUUCUUCCCCGGUGAGAAACCUCCAUUGUUGCACCUAGGGUUUCUUCGUUUCUUCGUUUUCCCGUCCGUGCAGAGCCUCUCCCACUCUCCCCUCACCUUCCCCGGCGGCGGCGGCCCUUCCCCCUCCGUUUCUCCUCCCCGGCGACGCCCCUUUUCCCCUCCCCGGCGGUGGCGGCGGUGGCCGACGGCGGCGCUCGCGCUCACGCGCCCCACGCCCGCGCGUACCCCUCCCCGGCGGUUGUGGCCGCGCCUUACGCGCCCGGUGCGACCGCGCCCGCUCCCGGCCGGCCCGGUCUCGUCCUCCCCUGCGCAGCCCCCUUCCCCUCCUCUCUCUUCCAUGAAUGGGAGGAAGAAGAUGAGGAGAGGAAGAAGAAGAUGACAGUUCUGUAAAUUAGGACGCGCGAAUUACAGUAUGGUUUAAAACAUUCAUAACUUUUGCGUUUUAAACCCGAUUCGAUCCAUUCAAGUUGCGUUAGAUUCGUAUUAAAAUAAUCUUAAUUUAGAAAUAUUUAUCCCAAUUUUUGCACAUUUUAUUUAAUUUAGUUAAACGUUUGUUUAAUCGGUGGCUACUAGAACGACAUUUUAAUUUAAAAAUCUAAUUUAGGAAUUCGAUUUGUGCAUUUAUAAUUAGUCACCAAUAUGAUUAACCUUAACUGAAAUAUUAGUUAUUAAUAAUUAUUUAGUUUAAUCACGUUGUUUAAUUAUUAGUUUCGCAUAUCGGUCCGCGCGUGUCGCGGUGCUGUUUCGCGCACGUCGUCGCGUGUCGUUCGCGAGUGUUGCGCGUGUUGUUCGCACGCGUUGUCGUGUGCCGUUCGCGUGUGUCGCGCGCCUUGCCGCGUGCCGUUCGCGCGUAUCACACGUUGUCCGCGCGCUAAGUCGUUUGUGUCCGCGUGUUGCGCACAUCGUGUUUGCACGUCGUGCGUCGUUAAUUCGUCUCGCUUAGAAUUGCUCAUAUUCAUUAAGUUACUUGCUUAACUGUCAACUAUUAAAAUAGUAAGUUAGUCAAAACUAAGUAGUAGUAUUGAUUUACAUUUGAUUAAUAUCAAUUAAUAUAAUUAUGUUGAAUUGGAUGUUCUAAUUAGUACUUGUUUAACGUAAACGCGCUAACCCUUCGACCGUAGCUUCGACUAUCAUGGUUCUUUUCCUUGCGUAACCGUAGAGGCGCUCUCUAUUUUAUAUUGCUCGCUUUUAUAAUAUUUUAUCUUGUAUGGUGUAAUGUUCUUAUGCAUAUAUAUGUUUAUUUGCUUGUGUCUGUUUGUCUUCGCUUCGCGUUGCGAUUGGAUCGCGAUUCGUUUCCGAACUUCGAGGAAUCGACGGUCAAGCUUCGGCGACCAAGUGAUCUAGCUCUUUGGGUUCCACGAAGUUGAAGACUCUGAGCAUCUGUUUGGUGAAGGCAAGUGUCCUCUGACCUAUUAUGUCCCAUUUACUUUAUAAUUCAUCAACCGCAUACCAUGAUCAACUUAAGGAUUGACUAGCUUUGUAUUUACCUCACCCUUGAUUACCUUUUGGGCUACUAUGGUUAGCUUCAUGCUAUUGCUUUACUUUAAUCAAUGAACAUGAUGAGAUACAAUGAUGAUACUAUGAUUUUAUUCUGGACAUGAUGAUAUACUUGUGGCAUUUAGGGGACUCGGGCUGUUUCCCGAGUACCUCUCCGUAAGGACCUGUUCGUUGAGAGACCACCCGGGAUAACAGUGCAACCAUGAGGGUGAAAUGGGAUGCCCUUAGCUAAUUAAUUAGAGGAACUAGAGGUGUAGUUGCUUCGCCGUCGUGCCGUCAAUGGGGUCCAGGCACAGUGCUUGCUCUGCCGAGGCUGGGUGCCGAGGUUCUUUCGUUUUGCUUUUGUUAGUCACCCUCCUUCGGGGAGAGGUACUGUGUUUAUCAAACUGGAGAAACCUAACGGGCGGCUAUGACCUCUAGGGAAUCUUUGUAAAGGCUACGUAGUGAGACCCUGCUAGGUCACCUUGGUAGUGAUCAAUGGAGAGUCAUGAUCUCCGGGCAGAAUGGGAAUCACGACUUGUGGGUAAAGUGUGCGACCUCUGCAGAGGGUUAGAAACUGAUAUAUCAGCCGUGCUCACGGUUAUGAGCGGCC